GAUGAACGCUGGCGGCGUGCCUAAUACAUGCAAGUCGAGCGAACGGACGAGAAGCUUGCUUCUCUGAUGUUAGCGGCGGACGGGUGAGUAACACGUGGAUAACCUACCUAUAAGACUGGGAUAACUUCGGGAAACCGGAGCUAAUACCGGAUAAUAUUUUGAACCGCAUGGUUCAAAAGUGAAAGACGGUCUUGCUGUCACUUAUAGAUGGAUCCGCGCUGCAUUAGCUAGUUGGUAAGGUAACGGCUUACCAAGGCAACGAUGCAUAGCCGACCUGAGAGGGUGAUCGGCCACACUGGAACUGAGACACGAUCCAGGCUCCUACGGGAGGCAGCAGUAGGGAAUCUUCCGCAAUGGGCGAAAGCCUGACGGAGCAACGCCGAGUGAGUGAUGAAGGUCUUCGGAUCGUAAAACUCUGUUAUUAGGGAAGAACAUAUGUGUAAGUAACUGUGCACAUCUUGACGGUACCUAAUCAGAAAGCCACGGCUAACUACGUG
rnacentral:rRNA from 1 species